AUCGAACGCUGGCGGCAUGCCUAACACAUGCAAGUCGAACGAGUGGUGGACGGGUGAGUAAUGUUUUGGACAUACCCUGAUGUACGUUGUGAACUACUGGCAACGGUAGCUAAUACCGCACAACAUUGGAUGUGCCCAGAUGUGAUUAGCUAGUAGGUGGGGUAAAGGCUCACCUAGGCGACGAUCCCUAGCUGGUCUGAGAGGAUGACCAGCCACACUGGAACUGGGACACGGUCCAUACUCCUACGGUAGGCAGCAGUGGGGAAUAUUGCACAAUGGGCGCAAGCCUGAUGCAGCCAUGCCGCGUGUAUGAAGAAGGCCUUCGGGUUGUAAAGUACUUUCAGCGGGGAGGCGUUACCCGCAGAAGAAGCACCGGCUAACUCCGUGCCAGCAGCCGCGGUAAUAC
rnacentral:rRNA from 1 species